CGUGGUGAGUAACACGUGAGGAACCUGCCUUCCAGAGGGGGACAACAGUUGGAAACGACUGCCAAUACCGCAUGAAACAUUUGAACCGCAUGGUUUGAAUGUCAAAGAUUUAUCGCUGGAAGAUGGCCUCGCGUCUGAUUAGCUAGUAGGCGGGGUAACGGCCCACCAAGGCGACGAUCAGUAGCCGGACUGAGAGGUUGGCCGGCCACAUUGGGACUGAGACACGGCCCAGACUCCUACGGGAGGCAGCAG
rnacentral:rRNA from 1 species